CCCCACGUACAGCUCCCACACCUGCGAAGUGCCGAUCACUCGUACUGCUGCCCCUACUGAGUCUACAAACUGGAUACGAGACCAUUGGAAUACAUUGAAGUAAGACGAAUUGUAUGUCGACACCUGAGAUUACACUGCAGUCGCGGAUACAAGAUUUUUGGAUAAGACAGCUGUUGAUGAUGAGGAUGCAGUGCUGAAAGAAGAUUCAGGUGAAGAAAGCGAUAUUUUGUCAAAAUAUGUGGCUGAAGAAAAAAAUGAUACGUCUACUGAACAAGAGUAUACUGACUGAUACUGACGAUGAAGAGGUUUGUGAUACUGAGGAAGAAGACACACCUUUCGCACUAGAGAAGGAUAUGAAGACCAAAUGGACCAGGAAGCCACCGAAUAGAGUAAGCACAGAGGACCUGAAAAUAUUACCACUCAUCUUCCAGGGGUUCUAGGAGCAGCUAGACUGAGCAAAAUCCCAGUUGAGUGUUGGAAUCACUUUUUCACUGAUGCUAUGCU